AGCAUUUUCAUUCUUGCUUCUUCAGAAAACUGGAAUAAUACAGAAAUUAGCAUGGUCCCUGUACAAGGAUGACAAGCAAAUUCAUGAAGCAUUCCAUUUAAGU
rnacentral:snRNA from 1 species